CGAGACUGGUGACUGGGACUAAGUCGUAACAAGGUAGCCGUAGGGGAACCUGCGGCUGGAUCACCUCCUUUCUAAGGGA
rnacentral:rRNA from 1 species